rnacentral:lncRNA from 10 species
AAGACUUAGACCCAGAGAGGCAGUAACUGCCAAGAAAAUUCAAGAGUCGUAUAAUUAGAACAAUGGUCCAUAUAAGAAGAUAACCUGGUUUCUCAUGACAAUACAUGCACCCCCUACAGGGGACUCUCUAAGUUCUAGAGGCUGAGAAGAAUUUGAUUCCAUAUUUAGGGCAUCAUAAAUUCAAAGGGGUGAGAAAAAAUAUAAUAUUAGGACAAAACAUGUGCACGGAAGUACACAAGCCAUUUGCUCCGUAGAGAAACAAUAUAGUGAAAUGUCAGUGGACUUGGAAAUCAAAAACAAUAUCACAUAAGAGGAAAGCAACAGAUUCCACUUUCAAAUUCAGCUUUCCAACUUGGAAUUUGAAUUUGAAAGUGGAAUCUGUUGCUUUUCUCUUAUGUAAUCUUGUUUGAGAAACGCAGGUAAUCAGUUUCAAUCUUUUCAAUAAUGUGAAAGUCCUGAUAAUAUCUACUUCAUGGGAGUAAAUGAGAUAAUAUCUAUUAAAUUGCCAUAAAAUACUACAGUUUUACAAGUGUAAGCUAUUGUUAGCACUACCAAACAUAAUAAUUGUUGCUUUUUUGUUGACAGUUUUUUUUAUAAAUCAGGUAUUACAUUAAUGUCUUUACAUACAAGAUAUCAUUUAACCAUAAUUUACAAAUAAAAUCAUUCAAAAGUAUCUGAAAUAAAUGGUCAAGUCACAAAAACAAAUAUGUCUAUCAAAAAUAAUUAUUUCUAAGAAAUGGUUUGCCAAUGUUAUUUAGUAGAGGCUUCCCAAAUUCAGCAGAUGUGAAUUUACCCAUAAAACAGUAAUUGAUCCACAGGAAAUCAUGACUCAAAAUGUGGUAUAUGAAAAGAAAGCAAUCCUUCAUUUACAUAGAAUUGUCAUAUUUCGGGUAACUUAGUGACAUGGACAUUAAGUUUCAUGGAGAUUGGGAAAAAGGUGGGUCGAAAAUGGUGAGUUAGAAAUGAAGAAUAGAGGCCAGGCACGGUGGCUUACACCUGUAAUCCCAGCACUUUGGGAGGCCAAGGUUGGCGGAUCACCUGAGGUCAGGAAUUCGAGACCACCCUGGCCAACAUGGCAAAAAUACGUCUCUACUAAAAAUACAAAAAUUAGCCGGAUGUGGUGGUGUGCUCCUGUUAUCUCAGCUAUUUGGGAGGCUGAGGGAGGAGAAUGGCUUGAACCCAGGAGGCAGAGGUUGCAGUGAACUGAGAUCGUGCCACUGCACUCCAGCCUAGGUGACAGAGAGAGACUCCAUCUCAAAACAAAACAAAAAACAAAUAUAUUAACAGUCUAUUCUAUCAGACCCCUUAAUUUGACUCAACCAAAUCCUCAAGGACAUUUUGCCCUGGAUUAUUGAAAAUAUGGGCAAUUCAAUAAUAAUUUAGAUGUGGGCCUAUAACAUGAUAUGAAAAGAGCAAUUUUAAAAGUUGGUUUUGAGGUCAUACACAGAUGGGUUUGUGGGCAAAGGGUGAGGACAACUUCAUAGAUCAGACGUCAUCUGAGCUGGGUUAUGGAGCUAAAUAGGAAGCAUUCUUGUGAAUAAGUCAAGAAACAACAUUACAGAAGAAUGUUCACAUUGCGGAGGUUUGAAACCACUGGGGAAGAGCUGGGUCUUUUUGCAGCUUAACUACCUCCUAUCCCUCUGUGUCCCUCCACUUCUUCCUCUGUGCCCUCAGGGGAUUGUCUUUACAUAGGCAUUGCACAGCCCUUGCCUUUCCUAAGAUUUAGAAUCAGUCAAUGGGAGGCACUAGGCAUCCAAAGCACACUGGAAAAGAGAAAAUUAAGGCCAGGGAUGCAGUCCUUCGACUUUUUUCCUGUCACAUUACUUCAGGUUGGCUUUGUCACGUGACCAAAACAGCUCUCACUGAGCAGCCUUAAAUCUCUUUAUCCUGGUAAUGGUUCCUUCCUCUUUUCCCUUAGGCUCAGGAGGGUAAUUAAUAGCUCCUCCUUGAUGUUAGCCCCAGGGGACUGCAACUUCACUUUCUGGUUUCCUUUCACCCUGUCCAUAUUUGAACAGAAUAGUCUUUUUGUAAAACUUUCCUUUGUUACUCUCAGUUAAGUAUACCAUUUAUAUUCUGAUGAGACCCCCCAUUGAAAUAUUUACGUAACAUCACAACUAAAGAAAAAUCAAAAAUUCAUUCUGUGUAAUGUCUGGCCAGUCCCCCAAACCCAGGUUUAACUGAUUUGAUUUUUUUUCUAUUCUUUCUUCCCUCCUUUCCCAUUGAGAUGAAUGGACAUUUGAUAUUACCAAGAAUAUGCAUAAUGACUUGGAAGUUACCAUUUGAACAAUUGACAUUCUUGAGCAUCUUAGGUUGGAUUUCCUAGGAACAGAACCUGUGACAGGAAUUCAGGUGGAGCUGUUUUAGGCUGGGUGCUGUGGCCCAGGCCUGGAAUCCCAGCACUUCAGAAGGCCAAGGCAGGAGAAUCGCUUGAGCCCAGGAGUUCAAGAGCAGCCUGGGCAACAUGUUGAAACAUCAUCUCUAUACAAAUAUACGCACAAAAAUUAGCUGGACAUGGUGGUGUGCACCUGUAGUCCUAACUACUCAGGAAGCUGUGGUGGAAGAAUCACUUGAGCCCAGGAGGUCGAGCCUGCAAUAAGCUGUGAUUGCACCACUGCACUCCAGCGUGGAUGACAGAGCAAGACACCCUGUCUCAAAAAAAAGACUAUACAACAGAGCUCUGAAAAAGAUCACACUUUCAGAACUUUCACAUGACGUGAAACUUAACUUCAUUCAGCACUGUACUCCCAUAGCACCUCACUGGAAAGGCAUUCCCUGGCAACCUUCUUUAUAAUGAAGGUGUUCAACUGAUAAAGAUUCAACUUGGAAAGGGAUCUACUUACUUCCUGAUAAUAUGCAACAAAACAGAUACAAGGGGUUCCAAAAAGAAAGUCAGAAAGAGAAAUUUGGAGCAGAAUGCACUACACGGCUUUCUCCUGAGUAUGAAGUGUUUGCCUAGCUUCUUCAAAUGGAGCGGAUAUUGAACAAGAAGAAAACACAGAUUACUAUCUCAGCAGGAUGGAUGACUCUAUCAUGAUCCUCAUGAAAUCAGGUCUACGUAGGGUGUCUCGCCAAAUGCCACACCUCUUCCUGGAUUUACACACACACACAGAUUAAGCCUACAAUUACUCAAACUAAAACAUCUUAAAUUUGUGAUUUUGUGACCCUCUUUAUUUAUGGAGGAAAAUGAAAGGAGAGGGUGAGAGGGAGUCUUCUGAGGUGCAAAACAAAAAAGGAAAGACACCAGCAACCUUUCUGACCCACUGCCCUUGAUGUGGAAGGCACUGUCACAGGAAAGGCAGAAUCUUCUUUUUUCUCUCACAUGUCUAUAACCAAAGUGGCAUUUCUAUAUCAUUUUCAAGUUAAACCUCUACUUAGAAAAGCUUAGUGUAUGUUGUUUGGAAUGAACCAAACCCCAAUAAUGUAUACUUAUGCCAGGGUCAAUAACAACUUUAACUUCCAAAAAAGAAAAACAAAAAGAAAAACAAAUAAAAUGGAUCAAAUCUGUAGUUGGAGAUAGAUGUUGGCAUGUUGAGUUUCACUAACCCAGUGUUAGUGGGAAAAGUCUAUUUUUGGCAUAACAUUUUAGUGUCUCCCUUAUCGUGUUGACACAUUUUUAUCAACCCCUUGGACAUCUGCAAGGUACAACAAAAUAAAAUGGCAUUUCUUCAAAUGGAUGUUAUAAUUAAAACUUUAUGUAGUUCUUUAGUGCUACAAUAUUUACAUUGAAACACUAAAUUGAAUGUUUUCAUCUCAUUCAAUGUAUAUUCAUCAGAUACUCCUUCAAAAAUAUGCUAUUCUUUUCAGAAAAAAAUGGUAUUUGUAGUAUCAGAGACUUUUUGUAUAUGUUUAUUAAUUUGGCUGUAUAUUUCUCCUUCAUAAAUGUAAUCCUAUCUAGUCAUGUUUACAGAAGAAAUUAGACAAAAGCUUAGCUAGCUCAGUAACUGAAAAAGAGACACAAGUCUUGUACCAAGUUAUGAUAUCAUCUUUAUCUCAUAUUUAGUUCACAUCUAUGAGAAAUUUAUAGAUCAGUGCUACAUUACUUUAAGAUAAUUAAAAUUGAUAUAAUUACUUUCCUUAAACAGGUAAUACUGUGAUGGAUUAAACAAGACCACUGACUACAAAUAUAUCAGAUAUGUUUGUAUGUGUUUGUAUCUUAGAUUAUAUAUUUAAUUGCAUAAUACAUUUGGCCUAACUGGGUCAAAUUGAAUGAAUUCAGGUGGAAUGUUUUGGUAGAUAGUUUUACAUGAUUAUACAAAAUUAGGAAACAGCUACUUAACAGGAUAAAAUUUUACUAGGAGUUAAGGGAAAAGAAAAAACAGUGAUUUGGGACCCAAUGCAGUAUAUACUAAAAGUAAUUAAAAGAGGUUGUCAGUGGUGAAGGGAAAUCAGUAUUACAAAUCAAACAAGGCAAAAGCAAGAGGAAAACAAUCAAAGACUAGAAUUAUGAGUCUAACUGAAAAGACUAGUUAGGUUGAGUGAAAUCAAGGUGAUAAAAUGACAAUAACACAAAAGACACGUUAAAACAUUUGGGGUUACUCAAUUCCUCAAAUUAAAUGGUUAUGAUGUAUUAUAUUAAGAGACUUAUUAGACAUUAAAACUUAAAAGUGACAUAGAAGCUUUCAGAGGAGAAAAGGGAACACAGUUUGAGGUGCCAGCAUUUUCACAGUAAAUCUUAGGAAGAGGGAAUUUCAGAAUGCAGAUUUCACAACUUUCAAUUAUCUCUUAACAUUGUCUAUAAUGGAAGCACAGGAAAAGUAAAGCAGAACUUUCUUAAAUGUUGAACAGAACUUCUUACUGUGAAUCUAUGAACCAUUGUUUGUAGAACUUGACUACGUUUCAAUUAUAAUAACAGGUACAUUUCCCAAAAGAGAAUUACUACUUAACUCUGACUAAGGGGUUCCAGGGCCAAUUUAUAAUCACUUUAGGCCAACCAAUUUCCCCUUUGUCCAUCUGGGCAAAGCUAUGGUCACAGCUUUGCAGACAGCAGGUGCCCAUGUGGUAUGGCUGGGAGCCUUUCCUGGCUCCUGUGUCACUGCUCCUCUUCAGAGGAAUUUGGAUGAAGACACAAAAGUAUAAUCUUUCAAGUUUCAUGCUUUUCCCCUCAAAGGCAAGAAACCAGGAAAGAAUUACUGAAUCAUGUAUUCAGCAAGUUGUUGACUCCCUUGCUUAGUCUUAUGUUUAUGGUAGCUUCCAUUACAUUUUAACUCUAUUUUUAAGCUAACCUUUUAACUUUAUCUAACUGUCUCAUUCUUCAUCUUCAUUACUUCAAGGAUCAAGUUGACCAUUGAAGUCGGCCAUUCUGAUCAAAUCUCAGACCAAUUUAAAAUUCUCCAAAGAUUCCCCACUAGAUGUAUCCUGAACUUCAGAUUCCCUAUGAUAUCACAUGAGGCCUCCCUGACCUGGCCCCCAUGUUCUUCUGUAGUCUAGUCUCUAACCACAAUCUCUUUAACCUAUGAUUAAAUUUUUCCAGUAUAUAGAAAUAGUAUAACUGCUGAAUAUCUUAAUGGAUAAAUGGACACUAGACUGGCUCCAUUACCAUUGUUCAAGCACCUUUAUGAACUACAUGUCUGCUAAUAAACUUUUCAUUCCUUUCUCUCCAUCUAGCAAAAUUCUGUUCAGCCCAGAGUUUAUCAUAGUAUCUGAUGAAUACUAGCUACUUAACAUGUGUUGAAUGAAUAAGUUAAAACUUCUCCCAAGUCAAAUUCUACUUUCUUCAUAUGGUAUGUCCUCAUCUCCAUCUAGAAGUAAUUUCUCCCUAUGUUGAGUCCCCCAAGUAUUUAUUUUUAAGAAGAUUUGUAUGGCCACAUUGUGUAUAUUCUCUAUAUUUAUUAGGAAAUAUUUAAACAUUUUAUUUUUUAAAUAAAGACUAUAUCUUGUUUCCUCAGACUAUAAGUUUUAAAAUUCUUCAUAAUUUUAAUUAUAUUUUUCUUUGCCUCUUUCACAGAUUAUCAGUGUUCAAUAAUUGUGAUUUGAAUGGCAUUAUGCAGAAGAAAAAUACAUUCUAUCUGUCUCAAGUUAAUGGUGACAAUGAGGAUAUAAGAGGUUGAACCAAACAUGCCUUCAUUAAGCUACAGAACAAUUAUUAAGGACAAGAUGAAUAAAUAUCAGAUAAUAUGUUGAAAUCUGUACAUAUAAAGUGCUGUGGGCAUGCAAAACAUUGAAUUUAUUAGAGAAGUGAGGAAGAUUUAGGAUUUUCUAUGAGGUAUGGGUUUAAACAUUCUCUUGAAUCAGGAUUACUGGAAAAUCAUGAAGAGGGAAUUCCAUGAGGGUUUAUAGCACGAAUGUAAGAAUUACCAAAAGAGUUAUAAGGAAGAACAAGCAAAGUCAUUUGGCCUGAUGAGAGAAGUCAUGUUGAAAGUUAAGAAAAUAUGGGGUCAGCAAGAUAGAAAUGAGCGUUCAAUAGAACAUUUUUUUAAAAAGUUCUAGGAGCUAAGAGAGAGAGAGUUCUGCUUAUUUUCUAAUAGUGAAUUCUAUUCCAGUGACUAAAGUGUGACUGAGGUUUCAGAAGGAACUGGAACCUUCUUCAAGGCUUUUAUAAUCUUAACUGAUACAUCAGGAGUUAAGCGAUUGCAAAACUAGGGUCUGAAACUGAGGUUUCAGAAGGCUCUGGAAUCUUCUUCAAGGCUGUUAUAAUCUUAAUUGCUACAUCAGGAGUUAAGUGAUUGCAAAACUAAGGUCUUGGGUGUGGCAUGGCUAAUGUGACUUGGGGAGGUGGAAUGAAAAACCAUGCAAGCAAAUAAACUUAAUACUUUUAAAUAUUGCCCUUAAUCUUUUGCAAGCAGUUCCACAGUCAGGAGUCUGAAGCUGUCUUAUAGUUAUUGGAAGAAAACAGAGAAGAGUUUUUCACUCCUCUUAGAUAGAUUAUUAUAAACUUGCUUUAGUAAAUGAAUAUGCCCUAGUGAUAUUCCUAUUUUCGCUGAAUCUUUUGAGAUAUAUCAAAAAUAUAUAUAAGCAAUGUCCCUCCAAAAGAGAAAAAAUGUAUUCCAUUGGAUAUUGAUAAGAACCCAGCAAGGAAAAGAUAUUGCACCAAAAAAAAAAAAGAUUGAUUUGCCUAAUUUCAGUAUUACUUUUAACAGCAAUGAGAGAUUAAUGACUUAUAUUUAAAGCACGAUAUAAUUUUCUUGCAAUGAAUAUGGUACAUUAAGAUGUUAGCCUCUCAUUCUGCUUGUGAAAGAAAAGUCAGAUCUUUGCCAAAUAGCUUUGGUUUGGGGGACACCUAUCCCAGUCCACAUCUACUUGAGUAGCUAUUUAUAUGAGAUGGAAAAUGAAAACUUAACCUCAUUUAGUGACUAUGUGCACAGUCUGUGAGUAUUCAGUAAAAGUUAAAAACCAUCAGAACUGAAAAAAAAUUAGGCUGACAACAUUGAACAAAUGUGUGUAUUUAGUAAUUUAAAGAGCCCACCAAAAACAACCACUUGCUGUCUGUAAAAGUCAAUCAAGUCUUUGUAGUAUGUAAGAAGGGGAAAGAUCCUGUCAACUAUUCUGUGGCAAUGUCCUGGAACAGACUGACUUCUUGAAUUAAGCUCAAAAACAGCGGUCAGGAAUUUUGUUCUGUAUCCCAGAUGUGACCAGAUGUGAAGAAGUCCCUAGCUGAAAAAAAUGUAUAAACAAAACACAAAAUAAAAAAAAAAAAAGAAAAAGAAAGAAAGACCUGAACUAUUUAGAAAAUAUACUUGAUUAUUCUAAGUAAAUGUGUUUUACCCCCAAAACAGGAGCUAAAGAAAGCCCAUGGCGUAUUCAUUCCACAGGACUUUGCUUGCUGAGCCAGGGAAAAUGAACUGUCAAACUUAAAGUAACGGCCAUGUAGAAAGGACAGCCACAAAUGUACAGAAAGUUUCCCUUUCACAGACAAUUUUUAAAUAUAGAAUCUCAGUUAUCCAUGCAAUUGAUAUUAUCUCUCCAGCACAUUCUCUGUCAUUCAUUUGAUUUUUCAAUGUGCCUUAUUUUUAAUAUAAAAUAGCACAUUAUAGAUAAAGAUGCCAUAUUCUUUGAAUCUUUCUAGCACCUUUCCAGUUCUAUCUAUUGCCUCCUCCUUCCCUGAGCGUACAUUCAUUAUCAUGAAUUUAAUACCUCUUUCCUGUCCCAUUAAAAUAUUUUUGCAUACAUACAUAUAUGUUCAUGAAUGUUGCACUGUUCAUAGCAUCAUAAUACAUGUUUUCUGCCACUUUAUUUUUACUCAAAUUAUAUUUUUAAAAUCUAGGGUUUGUCUUUUAACAGCUGGGCUUCAUUCGACCAAAUAAAUAUAGUAUAUAUUAUUAAUCCAUUUCCCUCUGAGAGAAUUUGGGUUAUUUUCAUUUUUUUCCAUGUUGCAAAUAGCAUGUCAGACAUCUCAGCACGUAUCCUAUGCAAACGUGCAAGUGAAGCAUUGGUUAUGUUUCAAGCACUUUGCUGCAUAAUCUGGCUUAAUCCUCACACAAAGUCUAGGAUCAAUGUUGCUUUAUUGAUAUCUUGAAAAUUAAUAUAUCAAAAAGGUUAAGAAACAUUAUCAAGUUCACUCAACUGAUACAAAGGGAGUUGAGAUUGCAUUUUCACCUACUGCUAAUUGAAAUCUUGUUUAUUUAUUUGCUCACAUGCUUAUUUUUCUGCCACACCCACCAGAAUAUAAAUUCCAUGAAGACAAAUGUCUUUGAUUUCUGCCUUAUCUCCAUUGUAUUAUCUGCACCUGGCAUAGAAGAGGGACUGGAUAAGCACUUGUUAGAUGAAUAAAAUGAAUAAAAGAAUGGAUGAAUAAACACAAUUAUUUCCCAAAUGUUAAGAGAACCCAGAAGAGUAAAAGAACUGUAACCUGUUUUGGAGUCCCUGCAAAAAUUAGUUUCAAUUCUAGGCAGUUCCAUGUUCUAAAGAACCCAGAAGUGCUGUCCCGGGUUUGGCUUCUCAUGAAAUAUCUGUGUUUGCGACUGAGAAUUUGGGGAUGUGUAUACUUGGCAGGCAACCUUUGGAUCAUUUCAGAUGACAUACAGAGGGUUUGUGGUUCUGAAGAAUAAUUCUGGAAAGUCAAAGUCAGUAAUGUUCAGUGGCUUUGUAUAUUUUUGCUCAUUUUGUAAACUCUGGGGAAAAAAUAAGUCUGCAAAGUUACAGCCACAGGUUUCAUGACACAUCGUGUUCUUAAAAGUGAGUAAUUAGAAUAAUAUGAAUUGCUGGUGACUUAUACCACAAGAAUAGUCCUUUUUCUGGGAAAAAGACAUGUCGGUAAUACACUUUCUUUAAAAUCGUUGGCAAAACUUUUUCCAUUCCUUUGUUCUCUACCAUAGACAUCAGAUGGUACAUGAGGAAAACUCUGUUACUGUUAUCAGUGUUCAGGACUAUUAUCAGCAUGGGAUUUGUGUGAGUCAGAUGUUUACUUCUACAGUAUUGUUAUACUGAAACAAAUUGAGUAACCCUAAUUCAUGGAGAAUAAUUAGUUCUGUUUAUUAAAGUUUUUAGUUGGUUAAAAUAUACAAAAGCUUCUUUUUUUAAAAUCUUUUUUCUAGUAACUUCCUAAAAUGCAUUAAUAUUCUUUGUGGCCUUAGCGUAAUUUAGGGUCCCUAAAAGCCCGAGCUUUCUUUAGAGAUGUAGAACCUUAGAACCAUUCAACUUGCCAUCAGUUCUUGUAAGUUUUUGUAUGAGAUUGUACCAAAUCUGUAGACAUCACAAGUCAUAUCUUCUAAUUUACUUUUCAACGAAUAUGUCUUUUCUAUUGAUCUGUUUGGAUUCAUUCUAUUCUUGCCCAGAUAGGGUCCCAAUUAGGUAACUCUGUUGGAUUGUUCUUUUAGCAGCUUAAGCAUAAAAUAAACCAAUAUGGGAUAUUAAAAAAUCACAUAUGUCCAUAUAUUAAACUUUAUAUAAAUAAUACUAUUAACAGUAUUGAAAUUCCACCAACAUGAAAAACAAAAAUAACUUUCUUUAAAAGUUGAAAUGGUGACUUUAUAGCAUACAGUUUCUUAGAAUAGCUUCUACUUUCUUAAUCCUGGAAUGAUUAUGGGGGUUUUUAAUUGGUAAAUAUUUGUAACCUGUACUUAUUUUUUUCAAAAAUAUGUUAUGUUCUGUUACCUCUAUGUUAUAAAUUAUAAUGGCAUACUAAAUUAGAAAUGAGCUCUUUGUGCUUAUGUCUUAAUUUUUUGUAUGGAAUUUUUUAUUUGGAAAAUUUCAAAAACAAAAGUUGAGAAUAGCAUAAUGAACCCAUGAAACUGUGACCCAGGAGCAGCACACAGCCAAUCUUGUUUCAUCUCUAUCUGUCCACUUAUUUAAUUUUAUGCAUUUCUAGUAUAAAUGUUAAAUGGUAGAAACACCACUGAACAGAAGGCAGAAGGUCUGAGUCUGAGUCUUCGCUCUACCCUGUAGAAGGCAUUUAAUUUAGUCAUAACUCAGUUACAUCCCCUACAACAUGGGACACGUGUGACCAAAUACCUUUAAUCUCUCUUUGUCAUCUUGUUUUACACACUAAGUUGUAGUAGUAUAUUUUCGGUCAGUGUAGUCCAGUGAAUGCACUCUGCAUCUUCAGUGACCUUUCUCUUGGUGCAGGUAUAAUCUAUCUGCACCACAAAGGCAAAAUUAUAACCAACUUAAAAAUAAAAUAGAACUUGCAAUGGAAUAGUUCUACUAGCCGCAGUUAUGCAACCAUUAUAAUGAUGUCAACAUUUAAAAAAUGCUGAUGCACAAUAAGAGGUACAGGCUAGAUUUAAAUUGAUUAUAUAUUUUAUAUAAAUAUAAAAUCAAUGAAAAAACUUCCAAUAUUAUACAUGUGCUGUAAAAAGAAAACAUUCUGAAAUAGGCUGAUGGCAUUUCAAAAGCAGUCUAAAAUUAUUUUUAAAAAUUGUUUUAUCUUGGUGGUAAAACAAAAUAUUAUGAAAUUCAUUUUAAUAUGAUGAAGUUUCAAUAAAUCUAACAAUUAAAAUUGAUUACACAUGUAGAAUCCAUGCAAAAAAAUAAGUCAGUGAAAUAGAAUCACCUUCAUGUCAUGGGUUGUCAUUGUUUGCUUGUUAUUAACCCUGUAAUGCCACACACCUACUCUGCCUUGUCCAUUGCUGUAUUCCCAGCACCUAGCAGAGUAUAUAGUACACACACACAAAUUUAUGAAUUAAUGAAUUUCAGAUCAGUGUAUGCUAUGAAAAAAACAUAAAUACAACAAAUUUGAAUCAUGUCUAUCUAGUUAUUUGGUUUAGACAUAUUGAUAUGAUUUUUCACAUAUGUUCUAAUACAUUUUUGAUGCUGAUUAUAUUACACCUAUCUCUAUCUUUCCAUUUAGAUAUGGAUAAAGUCUUACAUGCAUUUAGCAAUAAAUUUCAUAAGGUUAAGUUGAUUGAAAAUAAUCGGAAUUUGUAAAGAAGAACAAAUAUGUCUGUGGACAAAAUCUGUAAGCAAAAAAUAUACAAAAAGAUCCCAAUGCACUGAGAUAGGAUGUGUUAUGAGGUGAAACUGAUCAAGGAUAACUAUGACACCUUUGCUCAUGUAUAGUCAACUGAAUUCACUGUCACAAAAUAAGGGGUCAUAUCUUAGCCCCUUUUUUGGUUAUCAGAACAUUCAAUAUCAGAUGAUUUCAUGACCAAAAGGAUAUCAUAUCCAUCUUCAUUAAGGACAGUACCACAGGUAAACCUAGGGCGGCACAGUCCAACUCUGUACUGGUUGGUAAAUUCUUGGACUAUUUCUUUCAGUUCUGAGUACCUUCAUUUAGAAGGAUUUAGAUGGAUUAAAAUAUAUUUACAAAAGAAUAACACAACAUCGCUUAUGAGAAAUGUUUAAAGAAAGAGAAAUAUUUAACCUAGAGAUGUGGAAUUUUGUUAAAAG